UACGGAGGGAGCUAGCGUUGUUCGGAAUUACUGGGCGUAAAGCGCACGUAGGCGGCUUUCUAAGUCAGGGGUGAAAUCCCGGGGCUCAACCCCGGAACUGCCCUUGAAACUGGAUGGCUAGAAUCCUGGAGAGGCGAGUGGAAUUCCGAGUGUAGAGGUGAAAUUCGUAGAUAUUCGGAAGAACACCAGUGGCGAAGGCGACUCGCUGGACAGGUAUUGACGCUGAGACGCGAAAGCGUGGGGAGCGAACAGG
rnacentral:rRNA from 1 species